rnacentral:rRNA from 1 species
AUACGUAGGGUGCAAGCGUUGUCCGGAAUUAUUGGGCGUAAAGAGCUCGUAGGCGGCUUGUCGCGUCUGCCGUGAAAACCCCAGGCUCAACCUGGGGCGUGCGGUGGGUACGGGCAAGCUAGAGUGCGGUAGGGGAGAUUGGAAUUCCUGGUGUAGCGGUGGAAUGCGCAGAUAUCAGGAGGAACACCGAUGGCGAAGGCAGAUCUCUGGGCCGCUACUGACGCUGAGGAGCGAAAGCAUGGGGAGC